rnacentral:rRNA from 1 species
UACGGAGGGUGCAAGCGUUGUCCGGAUUUAUUGGGUUUAAAGGGUGCGUAGGCGGCUGGUUAAGUCAGCGGUGAAAGUUUCAGGCUCAACCUGGAAACUGCCGUUGAUACUGGCUGGCUUGAGUGCGGUCUGGGUACAUGGAAUUUAUGGUGUAGCGGUGAAAUGCAUAGAUACCAUAAGGAACACCGAUAGCGAAGGCAUUGUACUGGGCCGCAACUGACGCUGAUGCACGAAAGCGUGGGUAGCGAACAGG